CAGUAGCCGCGGGAACACGUAGGGUGCAAGCGUUAAUCGGAAUUACUGGGCGUAAAGCGUGCGCAGGCGGUUAUAUAAGACAGAUGUGAAAUCCCCGGGCUCAACCUGGGAACUGCAUUUGUGACUGUAUAGCUAGAGUACGGCAGAGGGGGAUGGAAUUCCGCGUGUAGCAGUGAAAUGCGUAGAUAUGCGGAGGAACACCGAUGGCGAAGGCAAUCCCCUGGGCCUGUACUGACGCUCAUGCACGAAAGCGUGGGGAGCAAACAGGAUUAGAUACCCGAGUAGUCCCUGUCUCUUAUCC
rnacentral:rRNA from 1 species